GUCCUAGUAGCUUAAGAUUUAAAGCAUUGGUCUUGUAAACCAAAGAUUGAAGAUUCGGACCCCUCCUAGGACA
rnacentral:tRNA from 1 species